rnacentral:piRNA from 1 species
AUUCUGGACAUGAUGCCUGAAGGCAU